ensembl:lncRNA
AUGGUCACACACCCCCGGGGGGGGUUCAGCCCCUCCCCAUUCCCUGCCUCAGUUUCCCCAGCGUUAAGGCACAAGAAAAGAAGGGAGGGGGGAAGGAAAGGUGCAAAGGCGGGACCCCCCCUCACCGGGGUUUGGGGGGUCCCCCGGGGGUCUCCCCGGGGUUUUGGGGGUCCCUCAGCAGCCAAAGAGCGCGCGGUGGGCGGCGACGAGCAGCGCCAUGAGGAGCCCGUAGAAAAGGGCGAAGAGCAGCCCGGGGGGGGGGCGCCGGGGGUGGGGGGGCUUCACCUGGGGGGGGGACAGGGGGGACCCCGCGUCAGCCGUGGGAGAGCGUGGGGACCCCCCAAAAUCAACCCCCUUCCCCCAGAACCGUACCUCGGGGACCCCCGAGCGGUGUCGGGGCGGCGAUGGCGGCGUCCGGCGGGCGCUGGGGGGGCUCUGGGGGGGGAAAAUGGGGGGUUCAGGGGAGUUUGGGGGUGUUUGUUUGGGUUAUGUGGGUGCCAGGGGCUAAAAAAGGGGAUUUUGGGGUGUUUAUUUGGGUUAUGGGGGUGUCAGGGGCUAAAAAAGGGGAUUUUGGGGUGUUUGUUGGGGUUACAUCAGUGUCAGGGGCUAAAAAAGGGGUUUUGGGGUGUUUAUUUGGGUUAUGUGGGGUAUCAGGGGCUAAAAAAGGGGUUUUGGGGGUGUUUUGGGGUUCAGGGGUGUUUUUGGGGCUCAGGAGGUUUUUGGGGGAUGUUUUUAGGGUUGUUUUGGGGCUCAGGGCUGUUUUUGGGGCUGUUUUGGGGUCCCAGGGGCUGUUUUGUGGUCCUGGAGGCAGUUUUGGGGUCCCAGGGGCUGUUUUGGGGUCCCAGGGGCCGUUUUUGGUUUCCCAGGGGCUGUUUUGGGGUCCCAGGGGCAGUUUUGGGGUCCCGGGGGCCGUUUUUGGGGUCCCAGGGGCUGUUUUGGGGUCCCGGGGGCUGUUUUUGGGGUCCCGGGGGCUGUUUUGUGGCCCCGGGGGCCGUUUUUGGGGUCCUGGGCUGUUUUGGGGUCCCGGGGGCAGUUUUGGAGUCCCGGGGGCCGUUUUUGGGGCCGUUUUUGGGGUCCCGGGGCCGUUUUUGGGGUCCCAGGGGCAGUUUUGGGGUCCCGGGGGCCGUUUUUGGGGUCCCAGGGGCAGUUUUGCGGUCCCAGGGGCCGUUUUUGGGGUCCCGGGGGCCGUUUUUGGGGCCGUUUUUGGGGCCGCUCUCACCGCCCAGGGCCGCAGCCGCGCCGCCACCCGUCGCAGCAGCUCCGAGUCCCCGAAAUCCUCCGGGAGCCGCAGCUGCAGCAGCGCCUCGAGGCUCUGCGGGGUCGGGGGGCACAGCGGGGACCCCCCAGAACGGGUCAGGGGGGGAACAGACCCCAAAACCCCCCAAAAUCCACAGGGAGGGGACAGGACGGGCGUUACCUGGCGCACCUCAGCGAUCAGCUGGUCCGGGUCCGGGGGGGCUGCGGGGAGAUUUGGGGGGUCAGGGGAGAUUUGGGGGGCAUAGGGGAGAUUUGGGGGGCACUGGGGGGGUCACAGGGGAGAUUUGGGGGGCACAGGGGAGAUUUGGGGGGCAUAGGGGAGAUUUGGGGAGCACAGGGGGGUCACAGGGGAUAUUUGGGGGGCACAGGGGAGAUUUGGGGGGCACUGGUGGGGUCACAGGGGAGAUUUGGGGGACAUGGGGGGGCUGUGCCCUACCUGGCUUGGAGGAGGAAGAGGAGCAGGGGGUGAGGCAGGCUCUGGGUUCUGGGGGGCUGCAGGGGGGGCCGGGGGCUCCGUCGGGGUCCUGGGGGAGGCAGGACAAUUAA